rnacentral:rRNA from 1 species
GACAGAGGGGGCAAGCGUUGCUCGGAAUUACUGGGCGUAAAGCGUGCGCAGGCGGUUAUGUAAGUCAGAUGUGAAAUCCCCGGGCUCAACCUGGGAAUGGCAUUUGAGACUGCAUGGCUAGAGUGUGUCAGAGGGGGUAGAAUUCCACGUGUAGCAGUGAAAUGCGUAGAUAUGUGGAGGAAUACCGAUGGCGAAGGCAGCCCCCUGGGAUAACACUGACGCUCAAGCACGAAAAGCGAUGGGGAGCAAACAGGG